rnacentral:lncRNA from 1 species
GGGGCGGGGCCUGGCGCGCUCGCCGCCGCGCGGGGUUUGUUUAUUUUCCCUGUGGGUCGUGGCGCCGGCGCUGUGUGGAGGCGCGCGGGUUACGUGACGCCCAGAGUUGGAGCGAGGACCAGAACCACCUGCUGGAGACCGGAGCUACGGGGGCCGGGCAGGGUCCAAACGGCUCACGUAGGCGGCGGCGCCGUGGGCCUCGGGGUCACGGGCAAAGGGGCCUCUCCCGGAGCGGGGAGGAAAGAGGGAGGCCUGACGGGAGACUUGGGCUCCGCGGCGCUCCCCCUCAGCUCGCGGGGUCACCUGCCUCGCUGAGAGCUCCGGCGUGGAGGACGCCGUGCGAUGGGGUGACCGGGGAUUCCCGCAGCUCGAGGGCGACCUCCCGUUAGCGAAGCGCGGAUGGCACCGUGCCGGAUCGCUUGGGAGAGUAACUGCAGUCCGAGGCGGCGGCCCGCUGUCUACCUACUCUUUCAGGAGCAAUGGUUCAUCUUACAAGCAAAAUGAAGCGGCUACUGAACUCCUCCAGCAAAUGGCAACCUACGACGGAGCGGGAGCCAGGCUGUGCUGGCUUCCAGGGCUGGUUGCGCUGCGUGGCACUGUCUCCGUAAACCACUUUGCUCCCACUCGUGGUGGAACACUCCCCCUUAGGAGAAGCUUGUCACACUGCCUUCCUGAUAUGUACCUUGCUGUUAUCAUCGGAGGAGCUUGGGACCUUCUUGUCACUGAGGAUGGCUGUGUUGCCCUGGUCCUUAUUUUGAGCAUCGCUUCUGGGCUGUACUCCAGAACCUUCAGCCAGCUGGCACAGAUCCCUCACCCUACUGGCAUAGACUUCCUAGCCUCCACUGCUGACCUUUGGGCCUUCCCCAGCACAGAUUUGUGAAAUAGACUUGUAUGAAUCAUUGUUGUGCACUCUAAGCCUCCAGUUGGACACAUGGGAGGCACUGUCAUGGGCUCUAGGUUUUCAGCUAAACGCAUGCAGGAUUUUGCCAUGGGAUCCAGGCCCUUGGCUAAGUUCUCUAGGUCUUUGAUGUUGUGGACAGAUUUCUUGCACUUUCUUUGUAUUUGACUCCUUGGGUACCAUUAUAACUAAUAGUAUAAAUAAUGUGUCCUGUAUGUAGUUGUUUUCCUUGCAGUCCCUGACUACAGCACUGGAGAUCAUAAAAAAUAUCACAGUCUAGAAUCAAAGAACUGGGUACUACAAGCAGCAAUUGCUCAUCCCUGAUAAUGAGCCCCUAAUAAAUUGAAGAAGCAGAAUCUUGCAAAAGAAUCAAAAGCCAAAGUCCAGCUAAAGCUAGACAUGUAUGAAAGUAGUCAUUUUCUAAGAGGUCCUAAUACUAGUAAUGAAGCUACCUAUUCAGCCAGGCAUGGUGGUGAAUGCCUGGAAUCUCAGCACUUGGGAGGAGGAGGAGGAUUGCCAUGAGUUCAAGGCCAGCCGUGAACUGCAUAGCAAGACCCUGCUCAUAAAUAAAAAAUAAAUACCUAUCAUAAGCAAUUUAUAAGCAUCAAUGUGGGAAAAACAGCCGGGCGUGGUGGCUCACGCCUAUAAUCCCACUCAGGAGGCUGAGGUGGGAGAAUCGUUGCAAGUUCGAGACCAGCCUGGGCUACAAAGUGAGCUCAAGGCCAGCCUGAACUGCAUAGCGAGACCCUGCCUCCCAAAAGACAAAAAAAAAAAAAAAAAAAAAAAGUGAAUGUGAGAAAAAAAAUUUUUUUAAAAAAUGAGAAAACAAGAUGCAACCUCAGUGUUCCAGCUCACUCAAGGCAAAUCCAGGGAACAUUGCAGUGGAAGAAAUCAAAAGCCACACAUCUGAACCUUCUGAAAUGGUGGUAGUAAAAGUAACAGAUGAAUGAAUCUCUAGGAAAAAAAUCAAAUAAUUACACAGAUAGCUAAAAAGAUAAAUAUGAUGAAGAACAUGAUUAGUGAAUCUAGAGUAGCUACCACUAAAAAACAGGGGUGCUUGGAAAAGAGAUGGAAAGCAUGAAUGCCCAACAUUUCAUAGGAAAGAGCAGGACUGAAUGAAGAUUCAGAUAUCCAGGAGACAAAAAAAAUUCUAUUGAAAGUAUACUCGGCAGA